rnacentral:rRNA from 1 species
AACGAACGCUGGCGGCGUGUUUAAGACAUGCAAGUCGCACGGGACACAUUGAGUAGUAAUACGAUGUGUGUUUAGUGGCGCACGGGUGAGUAACACGUGAAUUACAUGCCCUAUAGUGGGGAAUAGCCCAGGGAAACUUGGAUUAAUACCCCAUGGUCUCGCAAGAGUAAAGGUGGCCGCAAGGCUGUCGCUAUAGGAUU